UUCCUGAUGGCUCAGACGGUAAAAGCGUCUGCCUACGAAGCAGGAGACCCAGGUUCGAUCCCUGGGUCGCGAAG